CCCAGCCCCCACCCCUCCACCCGUCAAACCCCCACGCUCAUCUAUUGGGGGCGUGUCCGUGGACACAGGGCCAAUAGUAGGUGUCCCCUUGGCACUGGGCACAGUGAUGUCAGAGAUGGAGGCGGAGUCUGUGCAUCAGAAAUUGGAGGAGACGAGUGCUUCAUUGGCUGCUGCCUUAAAGGCUGUGGAGGAGAAGAUAAGAGAAGAGCAGGAUAGUAGUGAGAAGAAAACAACUGUCAGUAUCCUUGAUGACAUCGGAAGCAUGUUUGAUGACCUCGCGGACCAGCUGGAUGCCAUGUUGGAGUAACCAUGACAACCAGAGUUCAGUCAGUCGUCCUGUCACCGUGGCAACACAGUCUGUGUCAGGACCUCCAGGAAGCAAUGAUCCUCUUCUCCUAAACCUCAUCUUGGUGUCUCUAAGUGGACUGGGGAUCUCUCCAUCCAGAUCCUGCUCUCCUCUUCUUCCUCUUCCUCCUGUUCUCCGUCCCCUGACGUUGGAGUACCUCAGGCCAGCACAGACACCAGGCCACUGGAGAGAGAGAGAGACGAAGGGAUGAGUGGAGGGAGAGAUUGAGGAGAGAGAGAAGAAGGGAUGAGUGAAGGAAGAGAGGGAUGGAUGAGUAAUGGGCCCACGAUACAACACUGUCCUGCCACAGACAGAGACAGACUGACAGACCUAAUACAGCCCAUGUGAUCACCUGUACUUAAUAUAUGUAAUGUGUACAUCUACAGCAUGAAGAGGGUUUCUGUCUACUGAAAAUAGGCUUCUCGUUGAGAGAGUCAUGCAUUAGUCAUAUAUAUUAUACAUAUAAAUAUAAAUAUAUAUAAAUGUAUAGAUAUUUUAUUUCAUGUGUUGUUUCUCUGUUGAAUGGCGAUGCUGUUGUGAUGUCUAUGAAUUGCUGGAAUUUAAUGUGACCAAAAUGGAACUCCUCGUGUUGUUGUUAUGGACGACAAGGAGGGGAGAUUCCAGCUGGUUGGAUGUAAAGGGCUUGGGAACGGCAUACUCCCUGUGUGUCCCACAUACAGAGCCAGAUUCCCAUGUAAUUCCCACCUGCUUCCAUAACGUUCCCCCUCCUGGUUAUCGACACAGCACAGGGGGGGUCUAGGUCUUGUUGUAGAGGGGUUAGGGGUCAGGGGUCAGGAUAAAUCAGUAGAGCUUCAGCACAAAGUUGCCUAUACAGCACAAUACAGAUAUUAAAGCUGGGGUAGAGUGGGUGGGGCUCCCUGGAUGGUAACUGUUUCUCUGUCGCUAUUGAGGGCUUCCAAGAGGGGGGGGGGGCUUCCAAUAUCACGUCUCACGUAGACGGCCACGUUUCAUGAAAAGUGCCAUAAUAAGUCAGAAUGUUAGAAUUUAUUUAAUCUGAACAUACUUUACUUUCGCUUUGUUUCUUUAUGUAAUUGGUCAUCUCAGUCCGAAUGUCCACUGAAUAGAAUAAGGCCAAAAAUCCACCAGGAAGUGUUUUGAUAACUGUCCACCGAGGAGUGUUGUAACUGUCCACCGGGGAGUGUUAUAACUGUCCGGAGGGAAGUGUUAUGAUAACUGUCCUCUGGGGAGUGUUAUAACUGUUCACCGGGGAGUGUUAUAACUGUUCACCAGGGAGUGUUAUAACUGUUCACCGGGGAGUGUUAUAACUGUUCACCAGGGAGUGUUAUAACUGUCCACCGGGGAGUGUUAUAACUGUCCACCGGGGAGUGUUAUGCUAAUAAUCCAACUUUUACAUCUGCUGGUCUGUAUUUGGGGUUUGAAAAUACAAAUCUGGAAGUCAUGGGGGCAGGAUACAAACCCGCGCCCCAAACAGUUACUAUGGUUACUACUUCUAUGGACAUUCAAUCCGGACUUUGUAUUGGCAUAAAGACGGGCAACCGGUAAAGUAUGUUGAAAUGUAUUUUUGUUGAUUUCAUUUUUAUUGUAUUUCUCUUAUAGGAGUCACUGGCACUGUCAGCAUGCAAAAUAGAUUAUUUAAAUAUUAAACAUUCUGGCUGGAAAAGACAAUUCUGAAAUAUAUAAAACAUUCUGGGUGGGAGAGACCGUUCUUUAAAUAUUAAACAUUCUGGCUGAGAGAGACCGUUCUUUAAAUAUUAAACAUUCUAGCUGGGAGAGACCGUUCUUUAAAUAUUAAACAUUCUGUCUGGGAGAGACCGUUCUUUAAAUAUUAAACAUUCUGUCUGGGAGAGACCGUUCUUUAAAUAUUAAACAUUCUGGCUGGGAGAGACCGUUCUUUAAAUAUUAAACAUUCUGUCUGGGAGAGACCGUUCUUUAAAUAUUAAACAUUCUGUCUGGGAAAGACCGUUCUUUAAAUGUUAAACAUUCUGGCGGACACCAGAAGGGCCGAUCUUAGUCAAUCAAUAACAUGUUAACUAACCUGCUGCACUCUUGUAUCAGGGUUUCCUACAUGGUCUAGCAACCCCACAAAGAUAGACAGAAGGAUGCACCGACAGACAGACAGAUGAGCAGGACAACAGACAGCGAGACAAAUAGACGGGUAGGAACUCAGGCAGACAGGGAGGAAGUCAGACAGACAGACAGGGAGGGAGACAGACAGAUGGGUUGGAAGCCAGACAGACAGGGAGACAGACAGACAGACAGACGGUUAGAAACCCGGACUGACAGACAGACAGGGAAGGAGACAGACAGGAAGGGAGACAGACGGGUAGGAAGCCUGACAGGGAGACAGGGAGACAGACGGGUAGGAAGCCAGCCAGACAGACAGACAGAGAAGGAGACAGACAGGAAAGGAGACAGACGGGUAGGAAGCGAGACAGGUUGGCAGGCAGACCGACAGACCUCAGCUCUUUACCGCCUCGUUUUAUGUAAGAGCUAAAAGAAUAAUGUUUAUUGUGAUACUUAAGUUAUGAACAUAGAUUAUAUAUGGAUAUUAGCACAAAAAUAUGUUCUCAAUGAUGUUUUUAUGAUGUAGGACAUCCUGAAGGCUUUUGGAACUAAACUGAUAACAGAUGUUUAAAGCUGUAAAUAAUGAAAUAUGUAAUCUUCUAUUACUGCUCUGAAUAUUGAUUUCAUGUAAAUUAUCUUGUUACGGUUGUUUUUAUCUUGGUGAGAGCUUUUGUCCGGGCUUGUGUCCGAGUUCCGGAUUGAUCCAUGUGUGGUCGAUCGGUCUUCAUUGGAGUUGUAUCCUGUGUCUGUGUUCAUUUAGUAUUUGAUGUAACAACAAUGUGUUUUUCACAGCUCCGUGCCUUGCUUUGUGUUCUGCUUUGACUAGCUGGGUCUUUAGAUAUUCUAACUGUACUGUACAGAAUGUAUCAGGACCUCUGACCUCUAGGGGCAUCACACAGUGACCUGCUGAGCUGGUAGGGUGCCUGAAUCUGCACCGCCCCGCGCUCACUUCCUGGUUCAUCAAUCUGAUCAUGUGAUCUGUCGGAAUGUUCUGCUGCAUGCUUCAUAACCAGCAUGAAAAUAUUAUCUAUGGUAACUAACGGUAACUGAGCAUUCCAGAGCUAGUAAUCUAUAAGGGGGAUAUGGUCAGGAUAGGGUAAGGGGUCAGGCAGGGAGAGGUCAGGGGUUGGAUUUUCAUUUGGGUAAUGAAGGGGUUGUACAUGGACAGUUUUACACGUGGGCUAAAAGACUCCCUAGUCACAACUGUGUUAGCGCCUUGUCUCUGAACCAUCGACUACAUAAACAGCCUCCCCACCCACAUGACGCCUCAGUGUCAGGUCACAUGACGCCUCAGUGUCAGGUCACAUGACGCCACAGUGUCAGGUCACAUGACUCCAUAGAAUGGCAUUAUGGUUACGUUUUAAAGGUAAUCUGUGUUCUUGUAUACUGUUGUUUCCAAUACAUUCCUGUAACUGAUACCGUUCAGAAGAGGAACACAAAAUGGAUCCUAGAUCUCCAGUGACCUCCCGCGACCCUCUUUCCAAAUCCUGGAUCAGUGAUGACCUCCUAUGACCCGCUUUGCAGACCAUAUCCAGGAUCAGUGAUGACCAAUGACCCUCACCAUCUGUGUAUAUACAGUAGCUGUAUGUUUGUCAGAAAAAGACGUCCCAGUUUUUUACCUCUGCGUUAUUCUGCCUCUUCCUGGGUUUGUUGCUCAUUCUGCUCCCCUUAGUGUUUGUCUUAAUUACAUGAGGGAGGGAGGAGAGAUAAAUAUUGAAGGAAGGCAAUGGUCAAACGUGUUGUUUAGGAAAGUUUUGUUUCUGUUCGGUAAAAAAAAAAAAAAGAAGCUGUUUUUAUUUUGACCUGUGAGCAGCGCAAAGCCAGAGCGCUCGUGUGUCCAGCUGUGACUGUGUGAGUGCGUGUGAGAGCGUGUGAGAGCGUGUGUUUCUGCUCUACUUUGUGGAUAGUAUGAAAUGUGGUGAUGUCAUGGCAACUGAUCGAUGGGUGGGAACAUGGUGUGCUUGCAUUGAUGAGCCUACGGCCAUCCACUCAGAAUAAAGAUUAAACAACUA